GGAGCCCCAGGCCUGGGAUUUCCACGUGUCCACAUUCACUGAUCAGGACAGAACACAGAGAACUCACCAUGGACUUUGUGCUUGGCUGGGUUUUCCUUGCUGUUCUUUUAAAAGGUGUCGAGUGUGAGGUGCAGCUGGUGGAGUCUGGGGGAGACCUGGUGAAGCCUGGGGGGUCCCUGAGACUCUCCUGUGCAGCCUCUGGAUUCACCUUCAGUAGCUACUGGCAUGCACUGGGUCCGCCAGGCUCCAGGGAAGGGGCUGGAGUGGGUGGCAGUUAUAUGGUAUGAUGGAAGUAGCACAUACUACGCAGACUCUGUGAAGGGCCGAUUCACCAUCUCCAGAGACAACGGCAAGAAUAUGCUGUAUCUGCAGAUGAACAGCCUGAGAGCUGAGGACACGGCCGUGUAUUACUGUUCAAGAGAU